ensembl:lncRNA
GCUUGGAGCUGUUCUAUUAUGACAUAUUAAGGAAGAUUAUAGCAGAGGGAGUCGUUUUUAAAAUAGAAGAAGUUUAACCAAAUUUAUAUCUCAAAAUUAAGAAGCACCAGGACUCAGAGAGUCGUGAACUUCGCACAUUAUGGAAAAGCUGUGAUUUCUAAAUGUGGCUCUCAGGAACUAAAUGAAUUGGCUGAUGCCCAUCCACAUGGGAGAAGGCCAUCUGCUUUACACAGUCCACCAUUCCCAAUGCUAGUCUCUUCUGGAAAUGCAGACACACACAGGAAUAAUGUUUAACCAGCCACCUGGGCAUCCCUUGGCCCAGUCAAGUUAGCAUAAGAAAUUAACCGUCAUGUAAAGAUUUAGUACACGUUCAGAAAUAUCUUUCAUUGUAAUAUUCUUGAUGUGCUGGACAUCUUACCAGCAGGAUUGCCAGAUGGGCUAGCAAUAUGUAGCCACUAGAAAAAUGAAUUUUAUGUUUCAAAUUAUUUC